rnacentral:lncRNA from 1 species
CCUUGAACAAAUGAUUGAGCACAAGACUGCUGGAAUACAACCUUGAUAUCACACUAUUAUAGAUAAGGCUCACAAUAUUUACAAUAGACACAAGCGUGUCGUGCAGAUACACUUAUCCAAACAUUGUUGCAGUAGUAGUGAUAAUACAACCCAAAAAGUUAAAGAGUGUUGGGAGUUUUUAGUUACAAGAUGAUGGUAUCUUAGUCUAGAACAACAACAUGGUACAAUUGGAGUCCGCGUAAGCUUCUCCAGUCGCAGUAUUUAUGGCACAGUAAGAUGUCAAAGUACCUAAAAGUUGAUCGGUAGAGAUAUUGGCAAGGAAGUGAGAAAGAUACUACAGCAAAAAUUUGAGACAGAAUAUACUACAUUAAUUCCACAAAUUUACAGCCAAAGGUGAUAGUUUUAUGGUGAAGUUAUGUUAAUAAUGAACAUUUACUUAGACGAAGGUGUAAUACAACAUACCUAACUGAGUGUGGCAAUCCACUUGACGCAAAAUUUGAAUCCCUGAGGCAGCCCAAAAACUUGAAAAAGUUGAGUACCAUCUCUGUUACUUCCUUCUCCCCAACUUCUUAUAACAGGACCUUCAUACCAAGUGAGGUUGUGCAGAUUGAGAAUCCCAAAAGUUAUGGUGUUUUAGUAACCAAAAAUACCAAAAUGAGGAACAUACUUCCUGUAAUUAAAUGUAAGUAUAUCAAAUUGAAUCAUUAAAGUAGUCAUAGCUACUUUGAUGUCAUAUUAUAACAGAAAAAUGUGAACAUACAACUGAAUGGAGUUAAACUUAAGUACUCUGGAAAAGAAAUGAAGCAGCUUAAAAACUUAAAAAUAUAAAAAUCAGUUGACAUUCAGAGCAGAACAUGUAUAAUCUCUUACUACAAAGAGUACACAAGUGAAAACAGUUGACAUUUCGAUCCGACAGAAGUGACCACCAAAUGGAACUUCCUAACUGAUUUGUACACUUGCCCAUAAGAACUCGAAUAUAGACAACACAGAGUAUACUUUGAUGUAGAAGCCAAAAACUUAAAAAUACUACUUGGCGUCUGUAGACAUUCUGAACAUAUCCCAACUUCUUCACUAUUCAAUGUACCCAUGGGGACAUUACUAUUUUCUAUUGCUGCAAAUUAUUGAAAAGUGCACAUGCUACAAAUAGUCAGCGUAAGAUCCUCGUAUAAGUGUAUGAACUUUAUUAUUUCCACUGACCGCAUAUUUAUUUGAAGAAGGUAAAUGAAGGGGUUCAGAUAGAAGAAAAUAUAUAGCUGAAGCUCUAAAGCAGCCACUAGUUAUUCGUUAUUGUUGACAUGUUUGCCUUGACACAGUCGAGUGAAUUUUUACUAAGUCAUCGACCUUCGGAACACUUAACAUUAUGUUGUCUAAUUGAAUUUAAAAAAGCAUAAUAAUGAACUAAUGAGCCUUCGAAAUAGAGGUUGAAAGACUAAUAUGAAUCUUAUUAAUGUAAGGUCAAUAUGAAAUAAUGGCUGGAAUAACUUAGGAGGACCUGUUGAGACAAACUCAAUUUCAGUAUCCUUGGUUCUAUCAGUUAUGGAGUCUUCCUCUGGUUCUUUUAAUUUCACUUAAUUCCUCAUUACUGAUCGUUAGGGAAAAUACCAUGUGUUGUAAUGGAUUCGUAGCUCUCAGAAGAGAAUAGAUUCUUAAAAUUACUUAUCUAAGCAAGCCUUACAAUUCUUCCGUUUCCAACCCCUUAAUAUGUUAUUAUCAGAACUAAAUAGGCAUGAGUAUCUGAAAUCUAACAAUAAUCCACAUUUCAGCUAGACAUAUUUAGUAAGCUCAUACUGGUGCUUGCAGGGGCGGCUCAACGCAAUCAGAGGCUAAAGCGAAAUUUCAACUAGAGGCCAAAAAUCUAAAUAAACUUCAUAUGCAUUAAUUUUUUUAAAAAUAAAAAAAACUUACAUUUUUAAAUGCAAAGUAUACUUAAUAUAUUUUUAUAAAUGAUUUAUUCGAUUCCUUUUUCAAUUAUUAGCUUUAGAUAAAAUUUUAUCAAUUUCAACGUUGAAAAACAUUUUCUUACUCGGACAAUUAUUAUAUGAAUUGUUAACUUAGAAUUUGAUUCAAGAAGUUGAUAAUUUUGUAUACCCCACAUUUUACUAUGCUUGUUGUAAUGCUUGAAAAUCUAAGAAGAAUAGAAAAAGAAUUUACAAUUCACUUUGUUCAACACUUUUCGACUAUUGAUUCAUAUUUUUGAUAGAAUAUUACUCUAACUUAUCAAAAAUUUAAAGAAAAGUGUGUAAAAGGAGUUAAAAAGAAUAAAAUAAUGUGAAUAUUAGCAUAGAGAAUGUAAGAAAAUAAAACAAUUUUUUUGAUUUCUUCUAUUUAAAUGAGAUUAAAGAAGAAUAAAAUAAUAAUUGUUUUAAAAAUAUAUAUUUUAUCAUAAAUAAUUAAUCUUUUCUAUAAAAAAAAACAACACAUAAUUUAUUAUUGUUAAAAAAUUGAGCCCCCUAAAAUUGGGGCCUAAGGCCAAUGCCUUAUUCAAAGAAGCAUAGAGCCGGCCCUGGGUGCUUGUCAAGUUAAUUGUAACAUCCUUUUAGAAAGGGGAAAAAAGACCGACUAAUUUGCCUAACUUCACCGACAGGUUCACUAACCUUUCACAACUUCUUCAUUGGCGUGGGUGGUUCAAUUGAGGCAUCGCUGCUGGAAGAUUCAGAUUCAACAAAUGUUGCUUUCAUCUCUACCUCGCUAGCAUCGAACGAUUUGGCCUUUUUAAUGUUCCUCUCGCUAGUGCCUGGUAGAGAUACAUGUUCUUUUUCCGUGUAGGACAGAACUGUUAGACUUGACUAAGUAACAUUAGAGUUUGUCCAGGAUGAUGACUUUCUCAGUUGAAUGUGAAAUAGUCUUUUCGACA